CCUACGGGAGGCAGCAGUAGGGAAUCUUCCACAAUGGGCGAAAGCCUGAUGGAGCAACGCCGCGUGGGUGAAGAAGGUCUUCGGAUCGUAAAACCCUGUUGUUAGAGAAGAAAGUUCGUGAGAGUAACUGUUCACGUUUCGACGGUAUCUAACCAGACAGCCCCGGCUAACUACGUGCCAGCAGCCGCGGUAAUACGUAGGUGGCAAGCGUUAUCCGGAUUUAUUGGGCGUAAAGGGAACGCAGGCGGUCUUUUAAGUCUGAUGUGAAAGCCUUCGGCUUAACCGGAGUAGUGCAUUGGAAACUGGGAGACUGGAGUGCAGAAGAGGAGAGUGGAACUCCAUGUGUAGCGGUGAAAUGCGUAGAUAUAUGGAAGAACACCAGUGGCGAAAGCGGCUCUCUGGUCUGUAACUGACGCUGAGGUUCGAAAGCGUGGGUAGCAAACAGGAUUAGAUACCCGAGUAGUC
rnacentral:rRNA from 1 species